rnacentral:rRNA from 1 species
AUUGAACGCUGGCGGCAGGCCUAACACAUGCAAGUCGAGCGAGCGGCGGACGGGUGAGUAAUGUAUGGGGAUCUGCCCGAUAGAGGGGGAUAACUACUGGAAACGGUAGCUAAUACCGCAUACUAUUGGAGCGGCCGAUAUCGGAUUAGCUAGUGGGUGGGGUAAAGCCUCACCAAGGCAACGAUCCCUAGCUGGUUUGAGAGGACGACCAGCCACACUGGAACUGAAACACGGCCCAGAGUCCUACGGGAGGCAGCAGUGGGGAAUUUUGGACAAAGGGGGAAAACCUGAUCCAGCCAUCCCGCGUGUAUGAGAAGGCCUUCGGGUUGUAAAGUACUUUUGGCAGUGUAGCGGUAUCUGCAGAAUAAGCACCGGCUAACUCCGUGCCAGCCGCCGCGGUAAUAC